UUCGGGUCCUUGGCAACACUGACGCUUGUUGAUGACAGACGCUACAACAUGUGCACAUGACAGGCACACAACUGGACAUAUUUCAGCAAAUAAACCGACAUACAGUCCGAUAACAUGCGGGAAUUGAGUGUCAUUUAACUUCUCGAAGGAAUGUGUUUGGACCAUUACAUCCAGUCAUCAGAAGCAGAGCUGUGGGACGUGUGGACAGACAUUGACUGUAAUGAUGGACUUCUGCUGAUGGACAGACAGACUCCAGCUUCUCUACAUAGGACAAGUGUUUGGAGAAUCCUGGAUGGAGAGCAGGCAUGUGUGCAUGAAACCAGAGACCAGAUUAAUGUGUUCAUGUACCCCACCUUGUGGACACUAAGUGUAUCUGCAUUAAUAUAUGAAAACAGCAUGAAGAGGAAAGAGAUUUAAAAAAAGUCCCUAAUCCUGCUCCUGACGAGCCACUUUCCUGAGUUUAUCUCCAACCCUGUAAAAAAAACGCUCUAGCAGCUGAACAAUAAAUUGUUUUAAUGAAUGCUGUUGCUAAACUAAAAAAACAACCACAAUGAACCAUAUCAAACAUCACAAAUGCCGUGGCUCAGUGGCUAAUCAUUUGUCUUUCAUUCAGUUCUUGGUCCAAAUCCCACAGUUGCUAAUAUUUUUAUCACAGAAAACAAAGCCCUCAAUAAACUCAAAAGAGUUCAAUAAAUAAAUGGUUGCGUUUGAAUCUUAGAUUGCCUAUGUUAAAAUGCAUAUCCAACAAACUGCACCAAACAACAGAUGAUAUUGUGAAAGCCACGAUGGUUCAGUGGUUAAACACAACACAUUUUCCAACUCUUCCUAAUCAAUCACACCUGAAUCGACUCAUCAGCUCGUUAGUAGAGACUCCAAAACCAGACAUAUAUGGGUCAGAUAAGAAAGACGUCGAGGGUGUGCAAUGUUGGUGUGGCUCUUGGAACAGGGAUCUCUUGGUUUGAGCUGCUGGAGGUCAUGAGGAAAAGCAGUGAGUGACUUUGCAUGGAGUAUUUUGAGAGGAGCAACCGCCGAACUGUUAUGCAUCUGAGCCUUUUCCUGACUCAACCUGUUUCUGUUUUGAACUGGCAUGUUUUUGACAAUGAUCUACUCCAGUUUGUGUCCAAUAAAAUGGUAAAUGUGA